UCACUGGCAGAAUUCAUCUCCUUGCACCUACAGGGCUGAAGACCCUGGCUUUUUGCUGGCUGUCAGCUGGAGACUGCCCUCUGCUCCUGGAGAGUACCUGGAGUUCACUGUCAGUGGGCUUUCCCAGCAUGGCCACUUGACUUCAACCAGCCAGCAAGGCGAGUCCCCAGAUAAAACCCAGGAGGUUUCAGCCACGUGCAUGCCAGCAGCGUCGCUGAAGCCACAGAAUACUUGCCUGGGUCAGGCCGCUGCUUCUCCUAGGCCCCCAGUCCCUCGCACACUGAUAAGAGCAUUUUUGAAGAAGCAUAUCCCUACUGCUUCUAGCUGCAGGUGCUGGAUAAAUCUGGAAUGUGCCUGAAGCCCAAGCCGAAGCCGACACCCAAGUACAGACAGUUGUGAAUUAAGAAACAAAAUACGCUGGGUUUUCGAGAAGCGAAAAUUAUGAAGAGGUACAAGGCUCUCAAAGUAUUUUGCUGAUGGCUUAUCAGACGUGCACCAGAGCAGCAAACAUAAUGGUAGAAGGGGAUGGUCCCUAGCAGUGAUGAGAAACAAUUCUACUAAAGUCACACCUGGGCAGGAGACCCCAGAGUCCAGCUCUGAGUUCCCCAAGGCUGGUUCCAGAGGCGGGAGCCCAGCCUCUGUUUUCAGAACACCUACAUCUGGACAGUCAACACCCACAUGCUCCUCAAAGGACAUGAGCAAAACAGAAACAUCUCAACCAAAAAUGCUGCUUAGAAAGAAUUCCAAAAAGAGUCCACAGUGGAUUUUGGAAAUUUCUCGUCUCCUCUGUAAAGAAUGGAUUUUAAGAAACGUCUAAUGCUACUUCUGAACUAAAGAUACACAGUGAAACAUUUGACGUCUAUUUAUUCUCUGAAUACCAGGCCCAAGAACAGACUUUUCUUGGCAUCUUUGGCAUUUAUGGGAAAUAAAAUCCUUGUUGAAUGAGUAACUGAAACCCACCUACCUCAAAGGUUGGUUGUGAGAUCAAAAAAUGUGUGGCAGUGCCUUGUAAAUAGUAAAUUCAUAUGCAGGCAUUAAUCGUACUUACUCUCCCUUUUCUCAGCAGUUUCACUGUUCAUAUCAUUUUCUUUCAGAAGAAAAUUGAGACCUUUCUCAGAGUGUCAACUUACCCAUGAGCAAGCAGUUCACUGUUGAAGCUAAGGAGAAGGUGGUAGUUUAAGAAUAAAAUCAGGAGAGGACAAGACAGACUUAUUCAAAUUGAUUCGUUUUCUACCAAACGAAGCUUAAUUACAAUCCCUCUAUGGAUAAGUAAGAGAGGCACAUUUGGUGAGCACUGUUUAAUACAGAAAAUGAAUUUAUAUUUUUCAUUCAAUGCACAUUCAAAUGAAAUUCCUGGUCAAUAUUUUCUAUGUAAACCUAUGACUGAUAUUUGAAUCUUUUCAUACUUCCAUUUAAAGAUAAAAUUUGAGCAGUCUGGAUUUAGAUUAGUGUCCUCAACCCCCUCCCCUUGCCUAGUGCCAAAUUCAGUAGACAGUGUUGAUGAUAAUGAAAAACCAGUUGAAAUAAUAGCAAAUGCUGGUGAGGAGGUGAGAUAGCGGGACUCUGGUCCACUGCAUUCAUCUAGUGCAGUCAGAACAGGCAGGGACAAGCACACCCUCUGAAGCAAUGUGCUUUUUGGUAGUAAAAAGAAUUAAAAUUUGAAAUAACAUGUCUAUUACUUGAAGACUUGAUAAACUAUAGAUUAUUCAUACGAUGAAAUAUUAUACAGAAUGAAAUGGGAAAAUUGGAACUAUAAGAAUAGAGAUGUAAAUUUCAAAAAAAAUGAUAUAAAAUGAAAAAAGAAAUUUGCAGAAGGUUGCAUAUAUAUGUUCUUAUAUGAAUGAUAACGGUCUAUUAUUUGUGGUUAUGUACAUGUAUGCCAAAUUUUUAAAAAAACCCAAAGAAUGCCAGAUGGAAAAUUCAGGCUCUUUGUUCUCUCUGAAAAGGAAGGAGGGAGGGAAGAAGAAAAAGGAGGGCCAGCAUUUAAGCUGUGUGAUCGACACGGAAGAUUAUUAUAUUUUAAUAACUAAACUUUUUUGUAACUCGGCAAUCUUUGUAUUUUUUGAAGCACGGGAUUAUCUUUUCACUUCCAUACCCCAAUGUGUUUAGAAAUGAAUAAAAGCAUUUUCAAAUAAUGUUUGCCCA